GAGAGAGAGACAGAGAGAGAGAGAGAGAGAGAGGGACAAGCAGGCAGGUGGGACACGUGAUCUCUUCUCUCCUACCUUCAUUCCAUUUCUCGUGCAUAGGAGGAGGACAAACAUGAGCACAGGAGGAGGAGGAGGAAGAAGAGGAGGAAGAAGAAGAAGAGUAAGAAGAGGAGUCAGCGAUACUUCUAAUACAAAUGGAAGUGAGAGUGAGAGCAUGCAUGAAGAGAUGAGAGGCAACAUACUGACGGAGGGACGCUGCCUUGACGCGGGAGAGAUGCUGGCGUGAAGGACGGACGCGUGAGUGAGUGAGGGAGGAAGGAAGGAAUGAGUCCUGUCUGUGAUGGGGCAACAAAACACAGCACUGCAUCACCAACCUCUCCGACCAGAACCACGCCCUGACUCCCCACUCUCCACUGGGAACACGGGCAUAUUGGCUCCCAGUGGCCCAACAAAUCGUGUGGGGCAUGAUGAACAACACCCCAAGCUUCCCUCCACCAGCAGGACCACCGAACUGAUGCUAGCUGCUCAGGACACCACUACACAUGAACCCGACAGUGACUCUCGUCUAACAGCCCAGGACAUCAUCCUCUCUGGCUCACUCACCACUGCUACUACCGAUGAAGUGCCAAAGAAACUCGGGUACACCCCUAAUUUUAAUAAAGUUGGAGAUACUCUUCCGUGUCCGGAGAUUCUGUAAUGGGGAAUUCAAAUAAAGAUUGUGUUAAGGACUAUCUAUCUCCGGAGUGUCUUCUGAGUAUUUUUUCGACUUGUGGGCCCUGUCAGCAGGUAGACUGGCAGCACUGAUUGGUUGGCUCUGAAGGCUUGUUACUAGCAGCAGUGUUCUUUCUUCUGUGGAGUGGUGAGUCACGUCUUUCACUGGUUCUCACAAUCUGCGAAAUAGAAAGCCAUAUAGUAGUAGAUCUUGCACUCUAUUAUUAAUGUCUCAAAGAAUGAUACAUGUAAUAAAUAUACUGCUGUAUCGCCGUAAUACCCGGCUACAUCAUCACCAUCAGCAGCAGCAGCCGCUCAAGACGAGAACUGUACACAACUUCUUCCAAUAAAAUCGGUAUUGAAA
rnacentral:misc_RNA from 1 species